rnacentral:rRNA from 1 species
GAUUCGAGCUCCGGCUCGACUCUCCCACCCUAUGUGUACCUACCUCUGUUGCUUUGGCGGGCCGCGGUCCUCCGCACCGGCCCCCCUUCGGGGGCUGGCCAGCGCCCGCCAGAGGACCACAAAACUCCAGUCAGUGAACGUCGCAGUCUGAAAAACAAGUUAAUAAACUAAAACUUUCAACAACGGAUCUCUUGGUUCUGGCAUCGAUGAAGAACGCAGCGAAAUGCGAUAAGUAAUGUGAAUUGCAGAAUUCAGUGAAUCAUCGAAUCUUUGAACGCACAUUGCGCCCCUUGGUAUUCCGAGGGGCAUGCCUGUUCGAGCGUCAUUUCAACCCUCAAGCUCUGCUUGGUAUUGGGCUCCGUCCUCCACGGACGCGCCUCAAAGACCUCGGCGGUGGCGUCUUGCCUCAAGCGUAGUAGAAAACACCUCGCUUUGGAGCGCACGGCGUCGCCCGCCGGACGAACCUUUGAAUUUUUCUCAAGGUUGACCUCGGA